rnacentral:rRNA from 1 species
CUGCUGCCUUCCGUAGGAGUCUGGGCCGUAUCUCAGUCCCAAUGUGCCGAUCGCCCUCUCAGGCCGGCUACCCAUCGCGGGCUAGGUGGGCCGUUACCCCGCCUACUACCUAAUGGGCCGCGACCCCAUCCCUUGCCGUCGGGGCUUUCCCGCCGGCCCCAUGCGGGGCCCGCGGAGUAUCCGGUAUUAGCCGCCGUUUCCAGCGGUUGUCCCGGAGCAAGGGGCAGGUUGGUCACGUGUUACUCACCCGUUCGCCACUCUAUGCCCGGCCGAAGCCGGCUUAA